rnacentral:tRNA from 1 species
AGCAACUUGGCGCAGUGGAAGCGCGGUAUGUUAAUCUCAAACGUCCCACACUACGAUUCUUUACUAACACAAACACAGCCGGGCUCAUAACCCGGAGGUCGCUCGAUCGAAACGAGUAGUUGCUA